rnacentral:misc_RNA from 1 species
AGAUUUGUAGAGCUUCAGUCAUCUAGAAGGUUGCUCAAAAGUAACUUGAUAAUGGAGGAGAGAGUGGCACUGACCUGGCUUCGUACAUUACUGGGGAAGACUGUGAUAUCUAAGCAGCUCAAGGAUGAAGAUGGCAACCCCUGGCUGUCUAGCCAUUGUGUGGCUUGGGAAGACAGGGAUAAAGUAGACUUUAUUCUACUCAACAUCAGUGAGGAUCACAGAGAAAAAUGUUUUAGCAUGUGUACAGAGUCAGGUUAUUGGAGAGGUUGUCUCAUCUUAUUGAAAAAGCAGCAGAAAUGGAGAGAAAUGGCCACCAUGAUAUUCUGUCUUGGAGAUCUUCAACUUUUCAGUGAAAUGGAUCUUCUUCCAGAGACAAUAAGUGACUGGAAAUCCUUCGUAGAACUGUUUCAGUUGUAUUCUGACAAUCAUCAAAAGAAGUAUCAUUCUAAUGUUGAAAACAAUAGCUAUAGAAAUCCAACAGCCCAUGAUAAUUCAUUGGUUCACAAAGAGGCGUCAGAUAACCAAUCAAGCUUCGAAAAGAUGUCUGAAUCGUCUGAUUUGCAUUCCCAGGUGAAAAAUAGUGAUAUAAGUGUUCCAAAUACCCCCGGUAAAGAAAGCCCCUGUGGAGAUCUUGAGAAUAAAACUUUUCAUGAAAGAAAAUCCGAAUCCCCAGCAUUUUGUGGCUUAGAAACUGAAAGCUUAACACAUAAGGAGACAACAGAGUUUUCAGAUGGACCAGUGUGUGGUGGGGGGUGCAUCUCCUUGGGUGAGGUGGCAUCUCUGAUGCUCCAGCACUUGGACGAGUCGGUCUGUGUGGGGAUUUGGACAGAGAUGGAGGUCGCAGAGGGCUGCAUUGACCAGUCUGUCUACCAGUCCAGUAUUACUACAGCAUUAAACCACAGACAUCAAAGAAAUGUGAUGCACAAUCUUCUAGAAAAAAUUGACUCAUAUUUGUGGGCCAAGAAACCGAACACACUUAUGCCUGAGUUACAGUAUGCUGUGUCUGUAGAAAGGAAAUCCAGAGGUUCACGCAAAGAAAGAACCAAUGAGCAACUGGUGUUGUCGAAUGUGCAAUAUUUCCUUGUCGGAGAGUAUUUCUCAUGUAGAACCAGGAAUUCUUGUGUUUGACUGUGGUCAUGGAUUUCACAAGUACUGUUGCCAGGGCAGAGUAUGUCAACUGUGUUCAUAAACUUCCAAAAAUUUAAUUUUUGUAUUCCCUCAUGUAUGAAUAGCAAAAUGAAAUGUACACUUAUAAUUUUAUUUUGAUCAUUUACAUGUCAUUCCAAUUAUUAAAUAAAUUUCAUAACAGCAAACAUGUUUAUGAUAUUAGAUAUGCAAUAAAAAAAAACAUAAUGG